rnacentral:hammerhead_ribozyme from 1 species
AUCCAGCUGACAAGUCUCAAAUAGGACGAAGCGGCACGCGUCCUGGAU